ACAGUAUAGGUGAGAGAGUCUAAGAGGACAAGAUGAAGGUGAAAUAUUUUGUUUGGAUUCUUUUGGCUAUGCAAUGCGUUGUUGGUGUGUCUACAAUAGGACAUGAAAUCCGGGUAUCAUGUUGUCUACAAACUAGUAAAAUCAAGAUCAGAAUUACAGAAAUGCUGAACUACUUGCUUCAGAACGCACCACCAUGCCGUAUCAAAGCUGUAAGGUUUCUCUUAAAAAAUGGCAAGACACUGUGCUCUGAUCCAGAGGAUUCCUGGACCCAAUGUGCCAUGAAGAAACUGGAUAAAAUAAACCGAACUGCACCCAACAACUCACCAUCAAGGACAUUUGCAAGCUGGACAGAAACCACUUCCAUGACUACGACAACAGAAAACAGCAUGGCCACGACAACACCUAGGAGAGCAUCACACACAGAAAGACGAGUUAGUCACACCAAUCAAGACGAGCCCGAGGGAGAGCCCAAGGGAGAGUGCACCGAAGAAAAAGCGAAAAUUCCAUGGACACUCAGAUGUUUGAAAAAGAAAAGACAUGGAAGCCUGGUAUCAUGUUGUCUACAAACUAGUAAAAUCAAGAUCAGAAUUACAGACAUGUUGAACUACAUGCUUCAGAAUGGACCACCAUGCCCUAUCAAAGCUGUAAGGUUUCUCUUAAAAAAUGGCAAGACACUGUGCUCUGAUCCAGAGGAUUAUUGGACCCAACAUGCAAUAAAGAAACUGGAUAAAAGAGAACCCAAAACUACAUGCAACACCCCACCAUCAUGGACUUUUGCAAGCUGGACAGAAACCACUACAGGCACAUCACCACCAGAAGCAAGUCCAGAAAGCACAAUAACCAUGACAACCCCUAAAGGAACAUCAAACACAUGGACACCAAGAACAUCCAUCACUUCUAGAACUUUGAAAAAAAAAGAAUCUGAUGGGAAUAGAAAGCAAAAGAUAACUGUGACCUCGCAAAAAGCAUUGUGAACAUUUGUUUCCAUUGAACACUCAUCUGUUCAUGUCCCUGAGGUGGGGUUUACAUUAGACCGUAUCAGCGGAUCAUCAGAUUAACGUUUUUAAAACGAUUAGCGUGCACACAGCAACACCAAUACACGAUUCGCGUGCACACAGCAACACCAAUACACGGAUACGCUCGGCUCCGCAGGCAUCCUGCGCUCCAAAUCACUCCGCCCUGAACAGCGAGUGCCCUCUGGAGGGUGCGCACUCCGGCCCUGUGCAGCUCACAGAGCGCGCGAGUAUAGCGCACGAGCAGUGAUUCGGGACUGAGCCACUGUGUGUGUGAUCUCAGUGCAUAUCACUUACCACUUGCAAGUGGAAGGAUGGCAAGCCUAAAGACAAUCAUAACUACACAAUGGGCAGUAUUUGCAUCAGUAUUUGCAGUAUUUUCAUACUUUUAUACUCUUUAAUGAAAGGUGAUACAAGGCGGAAGUCCGUGCCGUUUUUCAGCAGUCGCGUCACAUGACCAACGCCAGCGAAUCAGGAAGGUGGAUGUCACAGUGACGUUGUCCAAUGAUGACGCCAGCUAGAGCUCAGCACAGCGUAUCCGCGUAUUCUCAAUGUUUACACAGCACCGGACCAGACACGAUCUGGAUUGAAUACGUGGACCCUGGCGGAUUCCCGUUUCCCGGCGUUUUAAUGUAAACGGACAGUGCAUCCACAAAGAAAACGAGACAGAUACGGUCUAAUGUAAACUUGGCCUGAGUGAGGUGUAAGUGGGUCUCGGUGACAAUGAGGGGUGGGGGCUAUAGAGUUAGUGGGUUGAGAGAGCUCCCUCACUUCAUCUUAUACUUUUCUGGGUCAAAAGAAGUUUCUACAGUAUAGGUGAGAGAGUCUAAGAGGACAAGAUGAAGUUCAACAGUGAGCACUGUGGUCUAGCCUCAGUUUCCUUUACACUGUGAGAUGUAGAGAGUGUGUAGUGGUCACACAUUGAGUUUCAGAGAGAGAAAGUGUGUACUCUUGUCUUUUCAAGGGUAUUGCAUUCAAGGAAAUGGACCUGCAUUAACAUGUUGUACAAAAAGAAGCACAACUCAGGUAGAGGUAAAAAAAAUUAAGAGCUACAUGUAUCAAAAUGGACCACCAUGUAAAACCAUAGCUGUAAGGCAAGUUUCUCUUGUUUAGUGACAAAACAAUAUGCUCUGAUCCAGAGAAUCCUUGGGCACAACUUGCCAUGAAGAUAC